UGGGGAAUAUUGGACAAUGGGGGCAACCCUGAUCCAGCAAUGCCGCGUGUGUGAAGAAGGUCUUCGGAUUGUAAAGCACUUUCGACGGGGACGAUGAUGACGGUACCCGUAGAAGAAGCCCCGGCUAACUUCGUGCCAGCAGCCGCGGUAAUACGAAGGGGGCUAGCGUUGCUCGGAAUGACUGGGCGUAAAGGGCGUGUAGGCGGUUUACACAGUCAGAUGUGAAAUCCCCGGGCUUAACCUGGGAGCUGCAUUUGAUACGUGUAGACUAGAGUGUGAGAGAGGGUUGUGGAAUUCCCAGUGUAGAGGUGAAAUUCGUAGAUAUUGGGAAGAACACCGGUGGCGAAGGCGGCAACCUGGCUCAUGACUGACGCUGAGGCGCGAAAGCGUGGGGAGCAAACAGGAUUAGAUACCCUGGUAGUCCACGCUGUAAACGAUGUGUGCUAGAUGUUGGGUAACUUUGUUACUCAGUGUCGCAGUUAACGCGUUAAGCACACCGCCUGGGGAGUACGGCCGCAAGGUUGAAAC
rnacentral:rRNA from 1 species